UACGGAGGGUGCGAGCGUUAUCCGGAUUUACUGGGUUUAAAGGGUGUGUAGGCGGGCUAUUAAGUCAGCGGUGAAAUCUUCGGGCUCAACCCGGAAACUGCCAUUGAUACUAUUAGUCUUGAAUAUUGUGGAGGUAUGCGGAAUGUGUCAUGUAGCGGUGAAAUGCUUAGAGAUGACACAGAACACCGAUUGCGAAGGCAGCGUACUACACAAUCAUUGACGCUGAGGCACGAAAGCGUGGGGAUCAAACAGG
rnacentral:rRNA from 1 species